UAAAUAUUUGGAGAUUGUACCUGCUAACAGCUACGAGUACUCAAAUGUUAGACAAAGUUUCCAAUCGAAUAACGGAAAUUUUAAAAUAAUUCAGAUAUAUAAAGUGCAGAACGAUAGGUUACAUAGAGCACAUAUUUUGUUUGGAAGGGACUUUAUGGCUACUGCAAGACGAAACUAUCAAUGUUCCUAUAGAAAAUAUUUGUGGCAUGGCACGUCAGAAAACUCCUGUGAGAAUAUUAAUCAAUAUGGAUUGAAUAGGAACUACCAGGGAAAAAAUGCUUGUGUUUACGGAGCCGGACUUUAUUUUGCCAGAGACCCAUCAUACUCGUCCAUGGAUACCUAUUCUGUUCCUGGCCGCAACGGGGAUAAAUUUGUAUACAAAUGUAGUGUAUUUGUAGGAAGGUAUGGACAAGGAGAACGAAAUUUGA